rnacentral:lncRNA from 1 species
CGUUGCCCGCCAACAGCGUAGCGUAGAACGCAAGGACACGGAGGGACGUGAGUUGAAAAGGGAGGGAAAAUCCGUGGAACGAAGACGCGAGGCUAGGCCGAUCGAUGAGGGGUUUGGUACUCUGCUGGCAUGCUGCCCAUCCUAUAUCGUCUUCGCGAUAACUUUCGGCUUUUUACCCCCUUGUACCCGAUAUACUCAGAGGUAUACAGGUCUUCUAAAGGUGUCUCGAUGCUGUCCUCGCCAACUUUGAACCCUGGGAAUAAUUCGGUUGAGCUGUUAACCAGCAAAUUCGUUUGAACAUUCAAAUAAAUGUGAAAGACUAAUUGAAAGCAUUCACACCGCACAGCAAGCAGAAGAGUUGAUCUACCGGUAAAAUUCGCUGAAAACGGAACCUUCGCAAUUCCGAGUCUCCCGAGACCUGAUCGAGUUUCUCUACAUUUGUGCCACAAGUGGUUUUCCUGCAAAUCCCAUGGACUUGAAAGUAUAUCAACGCACGAAACGCGAUGUGAUACAAGGUGUCGAAUGGAAAGAAGAGAAAUCAGGGCUAUGGAACGUACCCGACGGACGGACGGGGAGUAACGAGACGAAUCGAAGCGUAAAAACGAGCUCUGCAACGGACAACGAAACUGAGGAAUGAAAAAUCUGCAAGGUCAAGAGGUGUCGUGCAUCAUAUCCCAGUAGUAAAAAUCGAUCAAACAUCGCAAUACGGGACGAAGGGAGAAGGGUACGGGAAAUCCGAAGAUCGUGAAGUGCAAACGAAGAAGUCUGUCAGCCAUAGUAAAAGCAGUAUAGAAACAGUAGGCAGAAAUUGCAUCAGCCGUUUUAAAGUUCUCUCAACGACCACGACAGCGACCUAGUCAUUACAUCGUACGCGAAUCGUAUAUAAAUUGCACGAUCAAGCCAACCGUUCUCCAGUCUUCUUUUCCACCACCAUCGUAAAAGUAUAUAUAUCGAGGGUACAUAAGAAAUCGACAUGAGAAAUAAAACAGCUGCACGUAGGACGGAUGAGCAGCUAUUUUUAUUAGCAAGUAUUCACCAGUUCACCAACUACCAACGUGGCCCAGCAUCGAGCAUCGAGGAUACUUUUCUCUCUGCCUCCGGCGUCUCUCUUUUGUUGGAAUUGUCAGAAAGCAGGAAUCUGACGACCAAGGCCUCUGCCCGUUGAUCUCGUUCCGGGUUUCGUUGUCCCUGGUCCCUUAGGAAACGGGGCAGCGACACCCGAAUGUCGUCUAGAGUUGCUACGCGGGCGUAAAAAUCGCACAACUGCUCCACUGGGCGAUACACACGCUGAGGAAAGUGUCAAC